rnacentral:lncRNA from 7 species
GGUCCAUGAUGCUGCUAACAAGUUGGCAGUCCUAUCUUUACAAAAUUUACCUGUGGUUGUGUAGCUGUUCUCCGUCUGUACAAUUUUCAAUUAGAAAAAUUAUAGCAGCUAAGAAAAUAUCUUCUCUUUGUCGCAGAAACUGAUGGUUAUUGCUGGUAGAUACUCUUUUAAUCUCUACUACUACUUAUGUAACUAACGUAGGCGUCCACAGAGGAAAUUAGUGCACGGUUCUGCCUUUCUCCACGCGCUGGGCUUGCAUCCAUGGCCGCGAAUCUCACCCACAAAGCUUCCAUCCAUGGCUGUCGCGACCAAUCCAUGGCAGCCACGUCCCGGUCCCCGUACCUUGGGCAAAUGUGUUUCUAUGUUUCCUGAGUUGUGUUGGCUAGCCCAUGAUAUAAAGUGAUCAUUGCCUAUCUAUUACUUAGAUUGAUUAAUUGUCUAUUAUUUACUAUUUAUUUAUUACUGAUAUUUUAUUGUUGUUAUUGUUGUACUCUUGACCUUUGUAAAUGCUAUUGCUCAUUCUUUUUUAAAGCAGUCUGCUUCACU